UGUGGUCCAUGGUGUGUUGAAGGUCCUGAAAAGGUCUUUUUCAUUUCCCACCCCACUGCAACUACCACCUUCCCACACAGAUUUGUUGCUUUAGCACUGAGCUGAGCUGUCUGUCAUUCGAAUGAAAGUAAUCCCAGGAAAGGUGACAUAUUAAGCCAUAUUAGGGAUGUAUACAUUUAAUCACCUAAUUUACAUUAGGAAUCUCACUCCUUUUCCUGGGAAUAAGUUAUGAUACAAGAGAAGAGGAAGGGAGCAGAGAGCACUGAGAGCAAUAGAGUAGGGAACAAGGAUACAGGUUCUAGAUGGCAAAGACAUUUAAACCAUAUUUUGGCCUCCGCCUGCUUUUAUUUAAGCCUCAUUUGACACCUAAAUAGGACUCCUGGUUAGGAAUUAUUUUCAAUACACAAUCAUAUGAGUGUAUAAUUUAUGAAUUUCUAAAUUCAGUAUCUUGUAGGGCAGGUUGAGAACUAUGAUUCUUUCCAUAGAAAAUAGAAGAGUGAUGCUUCUCCUCCAUUACAUGUUACUGAGUAGGCAGCUAGAAAAAUCAAAUUGAAUUAGUGAUACAAUAAAAUUUACUGUCAUUGUCUGGUUUCUGUCCCAGUUUAAUUAAUCUUCCAAUUAGCUGAGUUGGUCUAUAUCCUAUACUUUCCACCUCCAUAGGGGGUGCCCUGUUAUCUGGUAAAAGAGCCACUUAUGACCUCAGGUGCUACUUAACCUGGGGGGCAAUUGUUUCUUAGGCCUAGCAGAUGUUUGGGAUGACACUAAAAUGGCAGAUUAGUCAGUCUGAGAAUGUCUAAUAUUGAUCUGAAUCUAGGAUUCUAUUCUAGUUUGGGGGGUGGGGUUGCAGUAUUGUAUAAAAUCAUAGGAUAUCUGAGAACAUCCCACCCUCAACUCAUUCCAACCACAUUGAUUCAGUCACACAGUGGCCCUGUGAGCUCUAUGACUUAGAAGAGAUAGCCUAUCUAUUCCUAUGACAAAGGCCCUCACCCAAAACCUUAAAUUGAAAGCCAGUGCUGCUACUUUCAUGCCUUGGAGAGAACUGUGACGUUUAGGGCUUCUCAUUUACAAUAUUGAAGCAAGAAAAAAGAAUUUUGUUCAGAGUAAUGGGUUAGAAUAGCAGUACUGGGAAUAAGUAGGGAAAGUUAGAAAUCUUCCACAUUUCUCUCUACAUCUCUCAAGAGCUCUGUACAGUGAGUUUCUGGAGCUGCUUCAUGCUUUGAAUAUAAUUGCUGGGGUGAUUAUGUGGUUAAGGGCUCCUGAAAGAACUGAAGGUGAAAAGCAGAGUAGAUGAGUAGAAUUCCUCAGAGCCUUGGCACUCUGGUGUGUAGAAUCUGUGUUUUGGAGAAGGUGAAAGAACUCAGUGCAAGAAUUAAGGUACAAUUAAAAAGCACAACACUAAG
rnacentral:lncRNA from 1 species